AAACCAUUCUCCCACCUUAGCCUCCCAGUAGCUGGGACUACAGGAAAAAAACUGCAUUUGUUUGAGAAACUACUUGAAGAAAAAGUGGGGACUAUAUGCAGACAGAACAAUUCUGUUAAAUACAGAGGUAUAUUCCCAGUUCCCAGAAGAUUGCUUGGCACAUAGUCAGCCCUCUUUUUGGAUUGAUCCUUGAGCUCAAGAGUCACUCUCCAGUGCUAAGUCCUUGAUCUUAAUUCUGGGUCACACUCACCCUU